CAGGGGUAUAGCCAAGUGGUUAAGGCAUCGGACUUUGACUCCGACAUCGGUGGUUCAACUCCACCUGCCCCUGCCAA
rnacentral:tRNA from 1 species